rnacentral:tRNA from 2 species
GCAGGCGUGGUCCAGUGGUAAGACCUCAGCCCUCCAAGCUGAAGAUCCGGGUUCGAUUCCCGGCGCCUGCA